rnacentral:tRNA from 1 species
AUGGUUGUGGCUGAGUGGUGAAGGUGAUGGACUAGAAAACCACUGGGCUUGUGCAGAUUCAAAUCCUGCCAACUAUG